rnacentral:rRNA from 1 species
AGAGUUUGAUCCUGGCUCAGGAUGAACGCUCGUGGCGUGCUUAACACAUGCAAGUCGAAAGGACUCAUAUUGAAACCUAGUGAUUUAUGAGUUAGUGGCGGACGGGUGAGUAACGCGUGGAAAACCUGCCGUAUACUGGGGGAUAACACUUAGAAAUAGGUGCUAAUACCGCAUAAGCGCACAGCUUCGCAUGAAGUGGUGUGAAAAACUCUGGUGGUAUACGAUGGUUCCGCGUCUGAUUAGCUUGUUGGUGGGGUAAUGGCUCACCAAGGCGACGAUCAGUAGCCGGCCUGAGAGGGUGAACGGCCACAUUGGGACUGAGACACGGCCCAAACUCCUACGGGAGGCAGCAGUGGGGAAUAUUGCACAAUGGGGGAAACCCUGAUGCAGCGACGCCGCGUGAGUGAAGAAGUAUUUCGGUAUGUAAAGCUCUAUCAGCAGGGAAGAAAUAGCGACCUUUGGGUCGCCAGACGGUACCUGAUUAAGAAGCCCCGGCUAACUACGUGCCAGCAGCCGCGGUAAUACGUAGGCGGCAAGCGUUAUCCGGAUUUACUGGGUGUAAAGGGAGCGUAGACGGCAGCGCAAGUCUGAAGUGAAAUGCCGGGGCUUAACCCCGGAACUGCUUUGGAAACUGUGCAGCUAGAGUGCAGGAGAGGUAAGUGGAAUUCCUAGUGUAGCGGUGAAAUGCGUAGAUAUUAGGAGGAACACCAGUGGCGAAGGCGGCUUACUGGACUGUAACUGACGUUGAGGCUCGAAAGCGUGGGGAGCAAACAGGAUUAGAUACCCUGGUAGUCCACGCUGUAAACGAUGAUUACUAGGGGUUGGGGGACCCAAGGUCCUUCGGGCGCCGUUCCCAAAAUGCAUUUAAGUAAUCCACCUGGGGGAGUACUUUGGCAAGAAGGGAAACUCAAAGGAAUUGACGGGGACCCGCCCAAGCGGCGGGAGCAUGUGGCUUAAUUGGAAGCAACGCGAAGAACCUUACCUGGUCUUGACAUCCCGAUGACGAGUGAGCAAAGUCACUUUCCCUUGGGGGCAAAAAAAACAGGUGGUGCUUGGUUGUCGUCUGCUCGUGUC